CGAAAUAGCUCAAUUGGUAGAGCAACUGACUUGUAAUCAGUAAGUUACGGGUUCGAUUCCUGUUUUCGGC
rnacentral:tRNA from 1 species